GACGAACGCUGGCGGCGUGCCUAAUACAUGCAAGUAGAACGCUGAAGGAGGAGCUUGCUCUUCUGGAUGAGUUGCGAACGGGUGAGUAACGCGUAGGUAACCUGCCUGGUAGCGGGGGAUAACUAUUGGAAACGAUAGCUAAUACCGCAUAACAGUAGAUGUUGCAUGACAUUUACUUAAAAGGUGCAAUUGCAUCACUACCAGAUGGACCUGCGUUGUAUUAGCUAGUUGGUGGGGUAACGGCUCACCAAGGCGACGCUACAUAGCCGACCUGAGAGGGUGAUCGGCCAAACUGGGACUGAGACACGGCCCAGACUCCUACGGGAGGCAGCAGUAGGGAAUCUUCGGCAAUGGACGGAAGUCUGACCGAGCAACGCCGCGUGAGUGAAGAAGGUUUUCGGAUCGUAAAGCUCUGUUGUAAGAGAAGAACGAGUGUGAGAGUGGAAAGUUCACACUGUGACGGUAUCUUACCAGAAAGGGACGGCUAACUACGUG
rnacentral:rRNA from 1 species